ensembl:lncRNA
GGUAGUACAGUAAGCUAUAAAUAAGAACAACAGUAGUUAAAAAGUUGGGGGACAAACUUAAAGAGUAGAGCCUUUAGUAGUUUUCUUUUUCUUGUUUUUUCCUUAUGCCAACAGGAUUAAGUUGUUACCAGUUUAAAAUAAUGUGUUAUAAGAUAGUAUUUGCAAGCCUUGUGGUAACUUUAAACAAAGAAAUAUACAAUGAAUACACAAAAAAUAAAAAGAAAGAAAUUCAGUCACAUCACCAGAGAAAAAUCACCAUCACUAAAAGGGAGGGAAGGAGGGAGGAAGGAAGGAAGGAAGGAAGGAAGGAAGGAAGGAAGGAAGGAAGGAAAAAAAAGAAAAGAGAAAAAAAGAGAAAAGAAAAGAACAAGAAGACCAGAAAACAACUAGAAAACAAAUAACCAAAGAAGGCAGGAGUAAGUCCUUACUUAUCAAUAAUAACACUGAAUGUGAAUGGACUAAACUCUCCAAUCAAAAGACCUAGACUGGCUGAAUGGAUGAGAAAACAAUACCCAAUGAUGUGUUGCCUACAAGAAACACACUUCACCUGUAAAGACACACAUAGACUGAAAAUAAGAGUAUAGAAAAAGAUAUUCCAUGCCAAUGGAAAUCAAACAAGAGAAGGAGUAGCUAUACUCAUAUCAGACAAAAUAGAUUUCAAGACCAAAACUAUUGACAAAAAAGGCUACUAUAUAAUGGUAAAGCAGUCAAUUUGGCAAGAGGAUAUAAUUGUAAAUAUGUAUGUACCCAACAAUGGAGCACCCAGAUAUAUAAAGCAAAUAUGAUUAGAGCUGAAGAGAGAGAGAGACCUGAAUAUAAUAAUAGUUGGAGACAUCAAUACUUCAUUUUCAGCAUUGGACAGAUCUUCCAGACAGAAAAUCAAUAAAGAAACAUCAAACUUAAUAUGCACUAUAGACCAAAUGGACCUAACAGAUAUUUACAGAACAUUUCCUUGAACAGCUGCAGAAUAAACAUUCUUUUCUUCAGCACAUGAAUCAUUCUCAAGGAUAGAUCAUAUGUUAGGUCACAAAACAAGUCUUAAAGCAUUCAAAAAAUUGAAUUAUCUAACAUCUUCUCUGAUUACAGUGGAAUAAAACUAAAAAUCAAUAAUGAGAGGAAUUUUGGAAACUAUACAAAUACAUGGAAAUUAAACAGUAUGCUCCUGAAUUACCAGUGGGUCAAUGGAGAAAUUAAAUAGGAAAUUGAAAAUUUUCUUGAAAUAGCAAUUGUAAGGCAUUGAACUCAGUGUUGUCCUGUUAGACCAAACUCACUUGAUGUCUACCCACAGAUGGAGCAUUUAAACCAGCUCUAGCCAGAGGGACAUCACAGAUCUCUCUGGACUUGAGUUCCCACAAACUUUGCCACUGAGGGCCAAAGUGCUCCCAGUCUCUAAGUAAACUUGAAAGGCACUCUAGGCCAUAAGGACAGCAGCUCUUAGGCAAGUCCUAGAGCGCUUGGCCCAGAGACAGUGGACUAGGGUUACAUGUGACAUACUGAGACACUAGCUGGGGCAGCCAAAGGAGUGCUGGCAUUAUUCCUCCCCUACGUCCAGUCUGCACAGCUCAGGGCUCCAAGAGACAUUCUCCUGUUUGAGAAGAGGAGAGGGAAAUGUGGGGAGGACUUUGUUUUGCAUUUUUGAUACCAGCUCAGCCACAGCAGGGUAGGGCACUGGUCAGAAUCACGAGGCCCCUAUUCCAGGCCCUAGCUCCCAGAUGACAUUUCUAGACACACUCUGGGCCAGAAGGGAAACUGCUACCUUGAAGGAAAGGACCCUGUCCUACCAGCUGAGAUCAGGUCACUGUACUCCAACCUGGGUGACACUAGCGAGACCCUGUAUCAAAAAAAAAAAAAAAA